UACGGGGGGAGCAAGCGUUGUUCGGAUUUACUGGGCGUAAAGGGCGCGUAGGCGGCCACUGCAAGUCAGUUGUGAAAUCUCCGGGCUUAACCCGGAAAGGUCAACUGAUACUGCAGGGCUAGAGUGCAGAAGGGGCAACUGGAAUUCUCGGUGUAGCGGUGAAAUGCGUAGAUAUCGAGAGGAACACCUGCGGCGAAAGCGGCUCACUGGACCACAACUGACGCUGAUGCACGAAAGCUAGGGGAGCAAACAGG
rnacentral:rRNA from 1 species